rnacentral:rRNA from 1 species
GCGUUGUCCGGAAUUAUUGGGCGUAAAGAGCGUGUAGGCGGUUCGGUAAGUCUGCUGUGAAAACCUGGGGCUCAACCCUGGGCGUGCAGUGGAUACUGCCGGGCUAGAGGAUGGUAGAGGCGAGUGGAAUUCCCGGUGUAGCGGUGAAAUGCGCAGAUAUCGGGAGGAACACCAGUAGCGAAGGCGGCUCGCUGGGCCAUUCCUGACGCUGAGACGCGAAAGCAUG